CAAUAGCGAAUUGUAAAUAUGAGUUGAUUUUCAGUUCAACAUCUGUUCAGAGUCUGUGGAAUGUCACUCCUGAACUCAGAGCAAUGUGGGCUACAUGUGCCACAUUUUCAUUGGUCUGUACAUUGAGUCGGGAGCACCAGAUACUGACUGUUACUUUUGAUUUUUCUUGUUAUUUGGCCAUUGGCCAAGUUGUACUGCAAGCACUUCUGAUUAGUCAACCCCAGGCUAGGGUCGGGGGGUUAUAAAUGGCAUCCUGUUCUUUUGUUCAGUGGGGAAAAGCUGAGGACAGGGGAGACUGAACAUUGACUCCCAGCAUAACAUCUUGAUUUGUCCUCUCUGAAUAAACCUAUUUUUCUCCCCCUGAUUUGCUUUGGAGUUUGUGUUAUUGAAGAAUAACAUAAAUUGCUAACACUUGGUGUCGUGUUCCUGAUGAAUUGGUCUGAACAACAAUAAGAACUUAUCAACUGUGUGUUUAUCCAGAAGAAAGAGGCUGAGCGCAACCCACUUUGGGGAGUCAACUCUUAAUCUCCUGAUUGAUGACAGAAUUGCUGGUACACGGGAAAGAAGAUGGGAGCAACAGGAGUGGAGGGAAGACGGAUAUGAAACAAACCAAACCAUUAUCAAUUUCUAUUGGUCCAAUGAAGAUUGAUGCAGGGGUGUGGAUAGGCUCAUUUGAACAACCUAUUUUAGGCUUUGAUGUUAUUAUGUAACUUGACUCAACAUUGAACAUUCCUUAAGAAAAAGGGGACGUGGCAAAUUAGACAACCCCAGAAAUCUAUAGUUCAGAACCAUGCUAUUUGGACUAUGAAGAAAAAUGACUGUGGAACUGUGGAUAUGGAAUCAGUGUGCUUGACAGGUGAUGCCCCACCUUUCACAAAACAAUAUCCAAUUAGCAAGGUAGCUAUAGCCACAACUAAAGUAGUGAGUAAAGAUAUAUGGGACAUGUGUAUAGUUGAAAAGACACCAUGUAAUCCAGCUCCUCUGAUGCUUCCUCCAGACACCACAAUGUGAAUGUGGUGGGGAUCAUCAUCACACCAAGCCUCAUGACUGUGGUCAAUGUGCCCGUGGUAACGGUCCUCGGUGCUGUAGUGAACCAUGCUCUCUCAGAUGUGCGAUCACACUUGUUAAGACCUCUUUUCUAUAACUUUGUGUGAAAUCUAUUUCUUAUGGCAACGGCAAGUACAAUAUGCCCUUUGUGUUUUAUAGAAAUGCAAGGUGUUUCAUGUGAAUUAUUUUAUGCUUACUGCUAAUGUAUUUUAUUCUGUCUAUUUUUUUAUGUUUUCUAAAAUGACAUUUUAACUAUAUUUCUUUUUUAAAUGGUCUAGGGGGGAAUAUAAGAAUAUUUUGAAGAUAAAUACACAAUGCAGAGUGUACUAGAGUACUAAUGGUCAAUAGCGAUUUGUAAAUAGGAGUUGGUUUUCAGUUCAACAUCUGUUCAGAAUCUGUGGAAUGUCACUCCUGAACUCAGAGCGACGUGGGCCACGUUUUCAUUGGUCUGUACAUUGAGUCGGGAGCAGGAUACUGGUUAUUUGGCCAAGGACUUCUGAUUGGUCAACCCCAGGCUAGGGUGGGGGGUUAUAAAUGGCAUCCUGUUCUUUUGUUCGGUGGGGAAAAGCUGAGGACAGGGGAGACUGAACAUUGACUCCCAGCAUAACAUCUUGAUUUGUCCUCUCUGAAUAAACCUACUUUUCUCCCCCUGA